AUUGAACGCUGGCGGCAGGCCUAACACAUGCAAGUCGAGCGGUAGAGAGAAGCUUGCUUCUCUUGAGAGCGGCGGACGGGUGAGUAAUGCCUAGGAAUCUGCCUGGUAGUGGGGGAUAACGUUCGGAAACGGACGCUAAUACCGCAUACGUCCUACGGGAGAAAGCAGGGGACCUUCGGGCCUUGCGCUAUCAGAUGAGCCUAGGUCGGAUUAGCUAGUUGGUGGGGUAAUGGCUCACCAAGGCGACGAUCCGUAACCGGUCUGAGAGGAUGAUCAGUCACACUGGAACUGAGACACGGUCCAGACUCCUACGGGAGGCAGCAGUGGGGAAUAUUGGACAAUGGGCGAAAGCCUGAUCCAGCCAUGCCGCGUGUGUGAAGAAGGUCUUCGGAUUGUAAAGCACUUUAAGUUGGGAGGAAGGGCAGUAAAUUAAUACUUUGCUGUUUUGACGUUACCGACAGAAUAAGCACCGGCUAACUCUGUG
rnacentral:rRNA from 1 species